CACAGAGUUACAGUUUUAUCGGUAAGGGGGGUAACUAUUAAUUAAUGUAUAACAUGCGUCAUGAUAGAUAAGUAUCGAUAGAUGUAUCGAGUAUACAUCACGUGGCUUAACUAACGUCGUAGUUGAGUUCCAGACCAUUUUAGCCAAAGACUGAACUUCGAGGGUUUGAAGCCGAGUUACCUCUACAUUUCGGCUACACACACCCUGUGUUAGAUUAAGACUUAUCUACUUAGGCCCUUAACAAUCUGGGCUUGGUGUUUGGUCAUACACUGGCGCCGAGGAGUCUCUCGUCUGCUGAGUGUUCUUCUUCAUCGGAACAGGUCUUCUCUUUCUUUAUCGACUGGUACCGCACCUGACAUGAAAAAUAAUUGUAUAUAUAACGUAAGAGUUUACAUUAGACUUUUAAAGAAUAAGCUAGGGAAAAACAAAAGAUACAUCGCUUAUAUCUUGUCUUGUUUUGUUUUGUGUGCUUUACAGUAUUCAUGUUCAGGGUUUCUCGCGUUUAUAUCCAAUAAGGGCCGGUUAUUAUAUGUAAUUCUCACGAAUCAUAGCUUUCAUCAUCAAACAUAUCGUCGAGAGUACAAAUCGGCUAAUCUACUAUACUUAUAGUGCGUACCGGGGAAGAUCACAAUAUUUUAUUUUAUUUUAAUAGUAGAUAGAUAGUAAUAAUUCUUGGGUUCUGUUAUGUAAGGUAAACUUUAAAAAGAAAUCUAUGGCGCUACAACCUUUUUAGGUGUGGGCCUUCAGAUUUUAGUAUCCAUUUCAUGAUCAUUUGUUAACCUAAUAGGCAAGUAGGUGAUCAGCCUUCUGUGCCUGACGCCGUCCACUUUUUGGGUCUAGGGCAAGCCGGUUUAGUCAGGGUAGACGGCUAAACUUAUCUUGGUGAUCAAGUUUCAUUUAAGAAACAAAGGCGCGAAAAAGAACUGGAGCACCGCAUCACCACAACUUGGGAGAAGUUUUGGAGCUUAAAAGAAAUCCUCAAAG